GUGUGUGUGUGUGUGUGUCCUCCCCAGGUGCUGUAUAAGACUGCGUGGAGUGAGAGCAUCGGUCGGGACUGUGCUGCAUUCUGUGCAAAGAAGUACUCUGAUCAUCUCCAUCGUUUCCAUGAGGAUGGGGGAAAUGGUGACAUGUGGCAGUGAUGUCAUCACCUUAGGCCCCUCCCACCCCCUCCCCAGAGCACGAGCAUCAGUGUGUGUGUGUGUGUGUGAGUGUGAGUGAGGCCCUGUAUGUGAAUAUUCUUCUCGCGCUCUGUAGCAGUGAUGGGCCUCUCUGGGUCAGAAGAGAUUUAAGACUUUCACUCUAUUCCGCUCUAUCUGGACACUUGAGAGUUCCGCUCUGUCUGGACACCCUAUGAAGCACCUGCAUCUCUGGAGCUCUAAGCUCUAAGCUCUAAGCUCUAGGAUGGACGCAAAACUGUUUCUGUUCUGUUCCAAGUGCAAAUGUAAUCUUUAGUUAGUGGGGCCGUCUGAACAUGGUUGAGAUUAUUAUAUAUAUGCUCUAGCUGGGGAGAAGUUAACACUUUCCUGGGGAUUUGGUGUGUGUGUGUGUGUGUGUGUAUCUGGUGUGUGUGUGUAUUCUGACAGCCUUCAUGUCAGAUGCGUGUGUAUGUGUAUUCUCAAGCCUUCAAGGCUGCUUAUUCUAUGCAGAUCUAACAUAGCGUGCGUGUGUGUGUGUGUGCAUGUGUGUGUGUGUGUGUGUGUGUGUGUGUAUGUCUGUGUCUGCCUAUAGCUAAAUAAAGUUAUAUUCACUGCUA